AGUAGAUUGGGAAACUCAUCAAUUACAAUUACAAUUCCGAGACAAGCUUAGUCAGUUGAUGGCGGGCCCCAUCCCUCUUUUUCUUUGAAGAAGCGGGAGUUGACUCAACUCAACCAGGCGGAUUACAAAGAUUGACGAGCGCUCAAAUCCUGUCUUUCGGAGUUUCAUCGCAUCCUUUGGUGUGGCUCUUA
rnacentral:sRNA from 1 species